rnacentral:rRNA from 1 species
GACGGAGGAUGCAAGUGUUAUCCGGAAUCACUGGGCGUAAAGCGUCUGUAGGUUGUUUAAAAAGUCUGCAGUUAAAGGUUGAAGCUUAACUUCAAAAAUGCCGUAGAAACUUUUAAACUAGAGGAUGGUAGGGGUAGAGGGAAUUUCCAGUGGAGCGGUGAAAUGUGUAGAGUAUUGGAAAGACCACCGAUGGCGAAGGACGAAC